GGAGGUAUAGCUCAGCGGUAGAGCAAUCGGCUGCAGUCUGAUAGGUCACUAGUUCGAUCCUGGUUGCCUCCU
rnacentral:tRNA from 1 species